rnacentral:misc_RNA from 1 species
UCCGACUUAACGUCGGCAGUCUCCUUAGAGUUCCCAGCAUUACCUGAUGGCAACUAAGGACAAGGGUUGCGCUCGUUGCAGGACUUAACCUAACAUCUCACGACACGAGCUGACGACAGCCAUGCAGCACCUAUAUACCGCUCCCCGAAGGGAUACCCCACUUUCAUGGGAUUACAGUACACUUCGAGCCCAGGUAAGGUUCUUCGCGUUGCAUCGAAUUAAACCACAUGCUCCACCGCUUGUGCGGGCCCCCGUCAAUUCCUUUGAGUUUCAGUCUUGCGACCGUACUCCCCAGGCGGAGUGCUUAAUGUGUUGACUUCGGCACAGCAGGGGUCGAUACCCGCUACACCAAGCACUCAUCGUUUACGGCGUGGACUAC